rnacentral:tRNA from 1 species
GUCGUCGUGGCCAAGCUGGUGAAGGCACCGAGCUGAUAACUCGGAGAUGCGGUGGUUCGAGCCCACCCGACGACA